UGGCCCUUAGGUAACGGCGAGUGAAGCGGCAAAAGCUCAAAUUUGAAAUCUGGUACCUUCGGUGCCCGAGUUGUAAUUUGGAGAGGGCAACUUUGGGGCCGUUCCUUGUCUAUGUUCCUUGGAACAGGACGUCAUAGAGGGUGAGAAUCCCGUGUGGCGAGGAGUGCGGUUCUUUGUAAAGUGCCUUCGAAGAGUCGAGUUGUUUGGGAAUGCAGCUCUAAGUGGGUGGUAAAUUCCAUCUAAAGCUAAAUAUUGGCGAGAGACCGAUAGCGAACAAGUACAGUGAUGGAAAGAUGAAAAGAACUUUGAAAAGAGAGUGAAAAAGUACGUGAAAUUGUUGAAAGGGAAGGGCAUUUGAUCAGACAUGGUGUUUUGUGCCCUCUGCUCCUUGUGGGUAGGGGAAUCUCGCAUUUCACUGGGCCAGCAUCAGUUUUGGUGGCAGGAUAAAUCCAUAGGAAUGUAGCUUGCCUCGGUAAGUAUUAUAGCCUGUGGGAAUACUGCCAGCUGGGACUGAGGACUGCGACGUAAGUCAAGGAUGCUGGCAUAAUGGUUAUAUGCCGCCCGUCUUGAAACCCCGGACCC
rnacentral:rRNA from 1 species